rnacentral:lncRNA from 1 species
CCCUAAUUCCCAAUUUCUGACUGAGAGAUGCCCCAAAUGCCACCGGCCACCAUCCUAUCUCGAGCACCACCCAACCUCCUACCAUCCCACGGUGAUGAUGGUGAUCUGUUGGUACAAUGUCGGAGGAUCAUUCUUGCCAAAGACGAGAAUCUGGAUCAACGGCGCCCAUCGGAGGCCCUCAAUAAUGUCAUGGCCGAUGAUGUGGACCCAUCUAUCACCUACCACC